rnacentral:rRNA from 1 species
UACGUAGGGUGCGAGCGUUAAUCGGAAUCACUGGGCGUAAAGGGUGCGUAGGCGGGUCUUUAAGUCAGGGGUGAAAUCCUGGAGCUCAACUCCAGAAUUGCCUUUGAUACUGAAGAUCUUGAGUUCGGGAGAGGUGAGUGGAACUGCGAGUGUAGAGGUGAAAUUCGUAGAUAUUCGCAAGAACACCAAUGGCGAAGGCAGCUCUCUGGGACGGUACUGACGCUGAGACGCGAAAGCGUGGGGAGCGAACAGG